rnacentral:rRNA from 1 species
AUUGAACGCUGGCGGCAUGCCUUACACAUGCAAGUCGAACGGCAGCACGGGUGCUUGCACCUGGUGGCGAGUGGCGAACGGGUGAGUAAUACAUCGGAACGUACCUUAUCGUGGGGGAUAACGCAGCGAAAGCUGUGCUAAUACCGCGUACGCCCUGAGGGGGAAAGCGGGGGAUCGAAAGACCUCGCGCGAUUAGAGCGGCCGAUGCCUGAUUAGCUUGUUGGUGGGGUAAAAGCCCACCAAGGCGACGAUCAGUAGCUGGUCUGAGAGGACGAUCAGCCACACUGGGACUGAGACACGGCCCAGACUCCUACGGGAGGCAGCAGUGGGGAAUUUUGGACAAUGGGGGCGACCCUGAUCCAGCAAUGCCGCGUGAGUGAAGAAGGCCUUCGGGUUGUAAAGCUCUUUUGUCAGGGAAGAAACACCGGCUCUAACACAGUCCGGGAAUGACGGUACCUGAAGAAUAAGCACCGGCUAACUACGUGCCAGCAGCCGCAGUAA